rnacentral:rRNA from 1 species
GAUGAACGCUAGCGACAGGCUUAACACAUGCAAGUCGAGGGGCAGCGAGGGAGUGGCAACACUUCUGUCGGCGACCGGCGCACGGGUGAGUAACGCGUAUGCAACCUGCCCUUCACAGGGGGAUAACCGGGAGAAAUUCCGACUAAUACCGCAUACGUCCUCCGGGGGCAUCCCCGGGGGAUGAAAGAUUUAUCGGUGAUGGAUGGGGAUGCGUCUGAUUAGCUUGUUGGCGGGGUAACGGCCCACCAAGGCAACGAUCAGUAGGGGUUCUGAGAGGAAGGUCCCCCACAUUGGAACUGAGACACGGUCCAAACUCCUACGGGAGGCAGCAGUGAGGAAUAUUGGUCAAUGGGCGAGAGCCUGAACCAGCCAAGUAGCGUGCAGGAUGACGGCCCUAUGGGUUGUAAACUGCUUUUAUGCGGGGAUAACGUGCGCCACGUGUGGUGUAUUGCAGGUACCGCAUGAAUAAGGACCGGCUAAUUCCGUG